rnacentral:rRNA from 1 species
CCUACGGGUGGCAGCAGUGAGGAAUAUUGGUCAAUGGGCGCGAGCCUGAACCAGCCAAGUAGCGUGAAGGAUGACUGCCCUACGGGUUGUAAACUUCUUUUAGAAAGGAAUAAAACGAGGCACGUGUGCCUUGUUUCGUGUAUUUUAUGAAUAAGGAUCGGCUAAGUUUGUGUCAGCGGCGGCGGUAAUACGGAGGGUCCGCGCGUUAUCUGGAUUUAUUGGGUUUAAAGGGAGCGUAGAGGGGUGGUUAUGUCAGUUGUGAAAGUUUGCGGGUCAACCGUAAAAUUGCAAUUGAUACUGGCAGUCUUGAGUACAGACAGGGUAGGCGGAAUUCGUGGUGUAGCGGUGAAAUGCUUAGAUAUCACGAAGAACCCCGAUUGCGAAGGCAGCUUACUAAACUGUGACUGACAUUGAUGCUCGAAAGUGUGGGUAUCAAACAGGAUUAGAUACCCUUGUAGUC